UAAUUGAAAUCCGACGUAUAAUUCCAGGGAUACGGCCUGGGAGUCUCUACCAAGCUACCGUAAAUGGCUUGACUACGAAGGGUGC
rnacentral:ncRNA from 1 species